CAGCAUGAGAAAAUAGUAAAAAUCUCUCAAACUGCCAGUUUUAAAACAGAACAGACCAAAUCUUCCAGUUUUCCUGUAACUUUAGGAUAAACUUUUGGAGUUGUAGACCUAUGGGGUCUGGGACCUCUUUUGGGAAAAGACUUCUGUUGAUUUGAAGGAGAAAUCAUGGCUGGAUGAUGUCAAUUUAAUCUCGAAUGAAUGAAUAUCAUCUGUAAGGCCUCGUUUUGGGGGGUGCGUUUGUGGAUGCUAGGUGCUGGACAAUUAUCGGGAUCUUAAGCAACCGGGAUUCAACCCACGAGGGCAGUUUGUCGAAAGAACCCUGCGCAAAUUCCUGGAGAGAACCAUCAAAAUCGACGCAACGUACCGAUCCAUUCUGUUUCACUCGGAGUUCCCGCCCAUCAUGGUACUCUACUUUUAUCUCUCCAUUGGGUGUCUGAAACAAUAAAUAAAAAAUUAAUUUGAUGAGGA